rnacentral:rRNA from 1 species
UACAGAGGGUGCAAGCGUUGUUCGGAAUUAUUGGGCGUAAAGGGCGCGUAGGCGGUGCGGUAAGUCUGCGGUGAAAUCUCCCGGCUCAACUGGGAGGGUGCGCCGAAUACUGAAUGACUUGGAGUGCGGGAGAGGAAAGUGGAAUUCCUGGUGUAGCGGUGAAAUGCGCAGAUAUCAGGAGGAACACCAAUGGCGAAGGCGGUUCUCUGGGCAUUACCUGACGCUGAGGAGCGAAAGUGUGGGGAGCGAACAGG